UUCCUAAUAGCCAUCGCUGGGAUCCUGGUGUCCUCCUAAAAUAAAGAACGCGUAUUUAGAUUGAGCAUGCUUGUGGCAAACCUGUGCGCGGUGCACGCAGCUACGACGUAUGUGGAUUGGCGAUUUUGAAAAGGGGUGUUCAGUUCUUAGUUCUGAGAGGGCUGUACACUCAUUUUGGAGGACGAUAUGACUGUGCAAGAUAUAUAAUUACUGGUCGGGUUUUCGAAUAUGUAACAAGAAGAGUCUGAUCGUAAUGCCAGGCCAGUGGGUGAUUCUCUAAACGCUCUAAUCUCUCCCAAGCAAGGAUUUCAUUAUGUAUCUGCGUGUAGUUUCGCCAAACCGAUAUUUUCAAAUGCAUUAUGGAUUUAUGGAACAUUAUUCACCUAUUACUUAAUUUUGUGAACGUUUUCGGAGGGCUGCGUGGCUGAACUAAAGACAUUUGGGGCAAAGCAGCUACGUAGCCGUUUUUAUGUUACAGUAUUUUAACAAUGAGAGCAGCAACGGCACCUCCCAUGAGAAAUCUGCAUGCACAAACAGCAUGGAGACCUACCAUGGCACAGCCUCGGUAUGCUGCCAGCCUGGUGUCACCUGAACAGACAUUAGAGAUGUGAACCUGCCGUUGGCAUCAUGGUCAGGGCUUUGCAGCAACAGCGGGGAGCCAUUCAAAAUGGAGUGUGGGAAAGGGCGGCAGUCUGGUCGGCGGGAGCGUGCAGUUGUCCAGGUAAGGAUGUGUGUCUGUGUGGAUGUCUAUGCAUUUAUACAUACAGUAUGCUGGUGCUGUGCAUCUGUGCUUGUGUUUGCCGGUGUGUUUGUGUGUGUGUUUGUGUCUGUGUGUUUGUAUGUGCCUGUCUCUGUGUUUUGCGUUUGAUUGCACAGCUCCAGUGGUGAGGUCCCUAGCUCUCUCCCUUCACUGUCUGUCUGUCACUGAGAGGGUCACAGCUCCAGUGGUGAGGUCCCUAGCUCUCUCCCUUCCCUGUCUGUCUGUCACUGAGAGGAUCACAGCUCCAGUGGUGAGGUACCUAGCUCUCUCCCUUCCCUGUCUGUCUGUCACUGAGAGGAUCACAGCUCCAGUGGUGAGGUCCCUAGCUCUCUCCCUUCC
ensembl:lncRNA